GUUACCAAACUGUUGCCUCGGCGGGGUCACGCCCCGGGUGCGUCGCAGCCCCGGAACCAGGCGCCCGCCGGAGGAACCAACCAAACUCUUUCUGUAGUCCCCUCGCGGACGUAUUUCUUACAGCUCUGAGCAAAAAUUCAAAAUGAAUCAAAACUUUCAACAACGGAUCUCUUGGUUCUGGCAUCGAUGAAGAACGCAGCGAAAUGCGAUAAGUAAUGUGAAUUGCAGAAUUCAGUGAAUCAUCGAAUCUUUGAACGCACAUUGCGCCCGCCAGUAUUCUGGCGGGCAUGCCUGUCCGAGCGUCAUUUCAACCCUCGAACCCCUCCGGGGGAUCGGCGUUGGGGAUCGGGACCCCUCACACGGGUGCCGGCCCCUAAAUACAGUGGCGGUCUCGCCGCAGCCUCUCCUGCGCAGUAGUUUGCACAACUCGCACCGGGAGCGCGGCGCGUCCACGUCCGUAAAACACCCAACUUUCUGAAAUGUUGACCUCGGAUCAGGUAGGAAUACCCGCUGAACUUAAGCAUAUCAAAAGCCGGGAGGAA
rnacentral:rRNA from 1 species